GCAUCUCAAACUCAAACCAGCUCAAUUGGAAUAAGAGGAACCAUUGGCUAUGCGCCUCCAGAGUAUGCAAUGGGUGGAACUGUAUCAAAAGAGGGAGAUGUAUAUAGUUAUGGGAUCCUUGUAUUGGAGAUGUUCUCAGGAAAAAGGCCAACAGAUAAAAUAUUUGGAGACCUUUUAAAUCUACACAACUUUGUGAAGGAUGCACUGCCAAAAAGACUUUCGCAGAUCACAUGCCCG
rnacentral:misc_RNA from 1 species